rnacentral:rRNA from 1 species
GACGAACGCUGGCGGCGUGCCUAACACAUGCAAGUCGAACGGACGAGGGGAGGCUUGCUCCCUGAGUUAGUGGCGAACGGGUGAGUAACGCGUGAGGAACCUGCCUUUCAGUGGGGGACAACAGUUGGAAACGACUGCUAAUACCGCAUAACGCAGCUAGACCGCAUGGUCUUACUGGCCAAAGCUUUAUGUGCUGAAAGAUGGCCUCGCGUCUGAUUAGCUAGUUGGUGAGGUAACGGCUCACCAAGACGAUGAUCGGUAGCCGGACUGACGAGGUUGAACGGCCACAUUGGGACUGAGACACGGCCAGACUCCUACGGGAGGCAGCAGUGGGGGAUAUUGGCACAAUGGGCGAAAGCCUGAUGCAGCAACGCCGCGUGAGGGAAGACGGUUUUCGGAUUGUAAACCUA